CGGGGCUAAUACCGAAUAUGACCUUUGACCGCAUGGUUUUUGGUGGAAAGUUUUUCGGCUUGGGAUGGGCUCGCGGCCUAUCAGCUUGUUGGUGGGGUGAUGGCCUACCAAGGCGACGACGGGUAGCCGGCCUGAGAGGGCGACCGGCCACACUGGGACUGAGACACGGCCCAGACUCCUACGGGAGGCAGCAGUGGGGAAUAUUGCACAAUGGGCGGAAGCCUGAUGCAGCGACGCCGCGUGAGGGAUGACGGCCUUCGGGUUGUAAACCUCUUUCAGCAGGGACGAAGCGUAAGUGACGGUACCUGCAGAAGAAGCGCCGGCCAACUACGUGCCAGCAGCCGCGGUAAGACGUAGGGCGCGAGCGUUGUCCGGAUUUAUUGGGCGUAAAGAGCUCGUAGGCGGCUUGUCGCGUCGACCGUGAAAACUUGGGGCUCAACCCCAAGCCUGCGGUCGAUACGGGCAGGCUAGAGUUCGGUAGGGGAGACUGGAAUUCCUGGUGUAGCGGUGAAAUGCGCAGAUAUCAGGAGGAACACCGGUGGC
rnacentral:rRNA from 1 species